AUGCCCAUCAAACGGAUUCGUUCUGGCACCCACCCUGGUUUAUUAUCUGUGUGUGCGUGUUUAGAUUAUGUAUCUGAUGGAGUGUAUGUCUAUUUAAUCUGUAUCACCUGUCUCUUCCAGGAGGAGGAGGAUCCAGAGGUGUUGCUGGUGAAGGAGGAGAGUCUGGGGAACCCUGAGGGGACCAUGGUCAUGGAGGACAACCAGACUACACCUCCUCCUGAACCCACAGAGGAACCAACUGAGCAGCACAGGACCACACACAGUCUCACUGAGUCUGCAGUCCACGAGGACUUGUUAAUAUCCAGUGUUGCUGGUGGGAGAGACUGGACCUCUGAGGUGGCUGUUCACAAACCCUGGCCCAGGAUCAGGAUCAUGGAUCAGGAGCCGUCGCUCUUUCUUCCUGAGUCGGAUCCAGGACCCAACCGUGAGGGACAGAGACUCUACCACCACACAGAACACAACCAGCGGACAGGUGGACUGAACAACCUCAGACAUGGUGGUCAUCAGAGAGGCUCCAGUCCACAGCCCAGACCCUUCUCUUCACAGUCUCAGUGCAGGGAUGGAGCAGGGCCUGGCGCUGAUGGAGAUAGACCCUCCUGUUCCUAUGAUACAAACACCACAGUAUCCAUGAUGAAAAGAGCAAGACACCCUGGGCUUCAGCCUUCCGAGAGAGUAGAGGGAGACUCCCCUGAUGGGAAUCUAACAGGAAGUUUGUCUUCUCUUUCAGGGUCUCGUCUAAUGCCUAGUGACUGGGUUCAUAAAAGGCCUGGGCCUGGGUCUAGCCUUACUCAGCUACUUCAUGGUUACCCUACCAACACAGCACACAAUCCCAACAACACCCAAACAAUGACUAGAGGAGGGAGCUCAAAGACUAACCACCUGAGUGUGGUGGCUCCUGCUUCUACCUCGCCUGGUGUCAUUGGGUCACAGCGUGGGAGGCAGAGCAUUAGGGGGGAUGCCGACAAGCCAUACGCCUGCCCCACAUGUGGGAAGCGCUUCGCUCAGUCAAAUUAUGUGAAGAUGCAUCAGACCGUUCACACCAAGGAGAAGCCCUUCAAGUGCAAACUAUGUUACAAGAGCUUCUCCUUCCUGACUAACCUUACCAGACAUAAGAGUGUCCACAAUGGGGAGAAAUUGUAG
rnacentral:lncRNA from 1 species